UCUGUGACAGGGUAAAUGAGUCAGAAAGUUUCUGAUUCAGCCACUAAUGAAACUGGAGAAGGCUCAUUAAAGGCACUAACGAGCUUUGCCUUUCACCUCAUGCUGUCUGGACUUUCUCCUGCACUUCAGCUGCCAUAGUGGGCCCUGUGCUCCUCAUGUGAGAGCUGUAAGGUGGACCCACUGAGGCUGAGCACAUGAAGAAAGGAAGCCUUCUUUCAAGAAUCCACCCUGAAGGCCCUGGAGAUGACCCAGCCAUGGACUACCACAGUUUCAGCAGUGUAGGAGCCAGAGGGCCGAGAGCCUACCAGGGCGAGAAGAGCAAACCAGACAUGUGGCUUGGUUUUAACCAGUCUGGACAAGUUGUUUCAUUGGAUGGAUGCGCUCUAUCCCCAGUAGAAGAGAUCACACUGGACCAAGAUCACGGGACUCCACAGCACUCUGUUAUUCUAUGAAGUGGCUUAAGUACAGGAAUCUUACUGGACUGCAUUGGCAGGAUUCUCAGCAAUGAGCACUCUCUGCUAAAUUAACUGACACUGAGACCCUGGAGGAGGACAGAAUCACAAUAUGACACUGAACGAAACUGUGGAAGUUUCAACCAGAGUAUGUUUAUGUUUAUUAGUAUGAGAAAUAAAUUUCUAUCUCACUAAGUCA